rnacentral:rRNA from 1 species
AGUGAACGCUGGCGGUAGGCCUAACACAUGCAAGUCGAACGGCAGCACAGUAAGAGCUUGCUCUUACGGGUGGCGAGUGGCGUACGGGUGAGGAAUACAUCGGAAUCUACUUUUUCGUGGGUGAUAACGUAGGGAAACUUACGCUAAUACCGCAUACGACCUACGGGUGAAAGCAGUGGAUCUUCGGACCUUGCGCGAUUGAAUGAGCCGAUGUCGGAUUAGCUAGUUGGCGGGGUAAAGGCCCACCAAGGCGACGAUCCGUAGCUGGUCUGAGAGGAAGAUCAGACACACUGGAACUGAGACACGGACCAGAGUCCUACGGGAGGAAGCAGUGGGGAAUAUUGGACAAUGGGCGCAAGCAUGAUACAGCCAUACCGCGUGGGUGAAGAAGGCCUUCGGGUUGUAAAGACCUUUUGUUGGGAAAGAAAAGAAGCAGGUUAAAACCACGCUGUUAUGACGGUACCCAAAGAAUAAGCACCGGCUAACUUCGUG